rnacentral:RNase_P_RNA from 1 species
UGAGUUGAAAGAUUCAUUUAUGAGAUCCCCGCUUUCGCGAGGAUUUGGAGGAAAGUCCGAACACCGUAGUGCAACAUAAUGGUUAAUGGCCAUCGGUCGUGAGAUCAGGAAAAGUGCAACAGAAAGUAUGUACAGGUUAAGCUGUAGUGAAACCAGGUAAACUCUAUGUGGUGCAAUGUCAUGUAUACCAACGUCCAGUCCCAAUCGGGAUCGGGAAAGGGCGGCACGCUCGAUUGUUGGAGGGUAGACAGCUAAAGUGUACUGGUAACAGUGCAUUCAGAUAAAUGAUAAGGUACUUUUCUUUUUGGAAUUCAUUUCAAACUGAAAAUGGACAGAAUUCGGCUUACAGAUUUACUUAUUUA